GCUAGCAUGGCAUAGUGGUUUGAGCAUUAGUCUAUGAUUCUGGAGACCAGAGUUCGAUUCAUAGUUCAGCC